UAGGGAAUCUUCGGCAAUGGACGAAAGUCUGACCGAGCAACGCCGCGUGAGUGAAGAAGGUUUUCGGAUCGUAAAACUCUGUUGUUAGAGAAGAACAAGGACGUUAGUAACUGAACGUCCCCUGACGGUAUCUAACCAGAAAGCCACGGCUAACUACGUGCCAGCAGCCGCGGUAAUACGUAGGUGGCAAGCGUUGUCCGGAUUUAUUGGGCGUAAAGCGAGCGCAGGCGGUUUCUUAAGUCUGAUGUGAAAGCCCCCGGCUCAACCGGGGAGGGUCAUUGGAAACUGGGAGACUUAGGUGCAGAAGAGGAGAGUGGAAUUCCAUGUGUAGCGGUGAAAUGCGUAGAUAUAUGGAGGAACACCAGUGGCGAAGGCGGCUCUCUGGUCUGUAACUGACGCUGAGGCUCGAAAGCGUGGGGAGCAAACAGG
rnacentral:rRNA from 1 species